AAAAACAAUGAAGCAGAGUAAACAGGAUUUCCUGGCUGUUUAAGAUGUGUCAAACCUGCUUCUACGCUUCAUGUGGUACUUAUUAAUCACAGACUGCCUAUGAGACAUAAAAAUCCAUUUAUACUCUAAUUUAUACCAAAUUUCUCACAGGAUAAAUAAAGUAUCUAUCUUUCAGACUGUGUGUUAGGCCAAUUGAAAGUGAGACUACAAUAUUCAAAAAGGGAAUGGGAAACAUUGUGGAUAAACAAAACUAAACCGUAUAUAUUAAGAGCCACCAUUCCAUCCUGUAGAGAGCAAAAGAAGAAGAAGAAUUAAAUGUACCAAUAGACAGAGCAGUUAAAUAAAAGACAGCUUUCCUUUUUAUUCGUUUUUACUCGCUUACUUCUCACUCCUGUCCAGUUGGUGGCAGUAAUGCAGCUUUAGCUGGGUUGUCAACCACCAUUAUAAAAUAAAAUAGUAAGAAAAAGACGAAACCCCAUCUUCCGCUUUCCAUCCAACCUCCUCGGUGUGUCCACAGUUCCAGUAUGAACUUACGAUCGGGUAUAAGCGUCUGACAAGACUCCACUACAGAUUUACAGAUGAACUUUCAGACUAAGUGGUUUAUUCUGCCUCAGGGCUGCGAUGCUGUCGUGAUCCAGUAACGCCGCAGCAGAACAGGCGGCCGCCAUCUUGUUAUCAGUUGAAUUGAGCAGAGACGGGGUUAGUAAACAGUUUUCUGCGGUAAAUUGUCCAGACUAAACUAGACUGCUCUUGUAAUCCAUAUUAUGGCGAGAACCAGUCAGCUAAGUAAAGAGAAACGUCAGUUUAUCAUUACUUUAAGACAGGAAGGUCGGUCAAUCCGGGAAAUUUCAAGAACUUUGAAUGUAUCCUCGAGUGCAGUGGCGAAAACCAUCAAACGCUUUGAUGAAACUGGCUCUCAUGAGGAUCGCCCCAGGAAGGGAAGACCAAGAGUCACCUCUGCUGCUGAGGAUACGUUCAUUAGAGUCACCAGCAUCAGGAACCGUAUAUUACCAGCACCUCUGAUUAAAGCCCACAUUAAUGCUUCAAAGAGUUCCAGUGCCAGACACAUCUCAACAUCAACUGUUCAGAGGAGACUGCGUGAAUCAGGUAUUCAUGAUCGACUUGACCAACAAGAUCAUCCUGAAGACCAAGAGGAAGAGGAGAACCGCUUGAUCCAAGAAACACGAGAAACACAUGAAACCAGUGAAAGACAAUGACCCAAAACACACCUCCAGGCUCUGCAGCAGCUCUUUGACCAAGAAGGAGACUGAUGGAGCGCUGUGUCAGGUGACCUAACCUCCACAGUCAUGUGACCUAAACCCAACUGUGAUGGUUUGGGAUGAGUUGGAGGCAGAGUGAAGGCAAAGCAGCCAACAAGUGCUCAAUCCCUCUGGGAACACUUCAAUGCACCAAUCCAGGUGACUACCUCAUACCAGCAGUGAAAAGCUGUCAUCAAAGCAAAAGCAGCUACUUUGACAAGUAGCUACUCUUUUCCUGCAUUAUUUACAAUUCUUCAGUUUUAAGACUGGUCUUUAAAAACAUAUUUAAAAAAAGCAACUGCACUUGUUGAGUUUAGAGACUGGUAUUGCAUAUUUGUGGUGUUUGAUUGAAAAAUUACAGUUAAUCCAAUUUUUCAUAUCUACAUACUUGUAUUGCCGUACAAAUGCGUAUUAGUGAAACUAAAAUGAAAUGGGGAGGUGAGCUGCUUGGCUUUAAGUUUUCAAAGUUGUAUGCCACUGUAUGAUAUUCAAAUGUUAAUAAAAUGUAAUAUAAAUAAUGUAA